rnacentral:rRNA from 1 species
UAGGGAAUUUUCGGCAAUGGACGAAAGUCUGACCGAGCAGCGCCGCGUGAGUGAAGAAGGUUUUCGGAUCGUAAAACUCUGUUGGUAGAGAAGAACGUUGGUGAGAGUGGAAAGCUCAUCAAGUGACGGUAACUACCCAGAAAGGGACGGCUAACUACGUGCCAGCAGCCGCGGUAAUACGUAGGUCCCGAGCGUUGUCCGGAUUUAUUGGGCGUAAAGCGAGCGCAGGUGGUUUAUUAAGUCUGGUGUAAAAGGCAGUGGCUCAACCAUUGUAUGCAUUGGAAACUGGUAGACUUGAGUGCAGGAGAGGAGAGUGGAAUUCCAUGUGUAGCGGUGAAAUGCGUAGAUAUAUGGAGGAACACCGGUGGCGAAAGCGGCUCUCUGGCCUGUAACUGACACUGAGGCUCGAAAGCGUGGGGAGCAAACAGGAUUAGAUACCCUGGUAGU